rnacentral:rRNA from 1 species
ACGAACGCUGGCGGCGUGCUUAACACAUGCAAGUCGAACGGAAAGGCCCUGCUUGCAGGGUACUCGAGUGGCGAACGGGUGAGUAACACGUGGGUGAUCUGCCCUGCACUUCGGGAUAAGCCUGGGAAACUGGGUCUAAUACCGGAUAUGACCUUCCAUGUAGUGUGGGGGGUGGAAAGAUUUAUCGGUGUGGGAUGAGCUCGCGGCCUAUCAGCUUGUUGGUGGGGUAAUGGCCUACCAAGGCGUCGACGGGUAGCCGGCCUGAGAGGGUGGACGGCCACAUUGGGACUGAGAUACGGCCCAGACUCCUACGGGAGGCAGCAGUGGGGAAUAUUGCACAAUGGGCGGAAGCCUGAUGCAGCGACGCCGCGUGGGGGAUGACGGCCUUCGGGUUGUAAACCUCUUUCGACAGGGACGAAGCUUCGGUGACGGUACCUGUAUAAGAAGCACCGGCUAACUACGUG